GACGAACGCUGGCGGCGUGCCUAAUACAUGCAAGUAGAACGAGUGGCGGACGGGUGAGUAAUGUCUGGGACACUGCCUGAUGGAGGGGGAUAACUACUGGACACGGUAGCUAAUACCGAAUCCCAUCAGAUGUGCCCCGAUGUGAUUAGCUUGUUGGUGGGGUAACGGCUCACAAAGGCGACGAUCCCUCGCUGGUCUGAGAGGAUGACUGUCCACACUGGAACUGAGACACGUUCCAGACUCCUACGGGAGGCAGCAGUGGGGAAUAUUGAACAAUGGGCGCAAGCCUGAUGCAGCCAUGCCGCGUGUAUGAAGAAGGCCUUCGGGUUUUAAAGUACUUUCAGCGGGGAGGCGUUACCCGCAGAAGAAGCACCGGCUAACUCCGUGCCAGCAGCCGCGGUAAUUC
rnacentral:rRNA from 1 species